rnacentral:rRNA from 1 species
GAGAAAGCUAUCUUCGGAAAGCGAGUACAGUGGCGAACGGGUGAGUAACACGUUGGUGACCUACCCCGAGGUGGGGGACAACCGUGGGAAACCAUGGCUAAUACCCCAGAUGUCUGAGUGUUUAGAAAUCUUAGACUAAAGUUCCGGCGCCUCGGGAGGGGCCUGCGGGCUAUCAGCUUGUUGGUAGGGUAACGGCCUACCAAGGCUAAGACGGCUAGGGGGCGCGAGAGCGCGAUCCCCCACAAUGGAACUGAGACACGGUCCAUACUCCUACGGGAGGCAGCAGUGAGGAAUAUUGCCCAAUGGGGGAAACCCUGAGGCAGCAACGCCGCGUGAACGAUGAAGGCCUUCGGGUUGUAAAGUUCUUUUCUGGGGGACGAUAAUGACGGUACCUCAAGAAUAAGUCCCGGCUAACUACGUGCCAGCAGCCGCGGUAAAACGUAGGGGGCGAGCGUUAUCCGGAUUUAUUGGGCGUAAAGCGCACGUAGGUGGCGCUGUAAGUUGGACGUGAAAGCUCCCGGCUCAACUGGGAGAGGUCGUUCAAAACUACAGCGCUUGAGGUUGGAAGAGGAGAGUGGAAUUCCCGGUGUAGUGGUGGAAUGCGUAGAUAUCGGGAGGAACACCAGUGGCGAAAGCGGCUCUCUGGUCCAUACCUGACACUGAGGUGCGAAAGCGUGGGGAGCGAACAGGAUUAGAUACCCUGGUAGUCCACGCCGUAAACGAUGAUUACUCGUUGUUGGCGAUACAUUGUCAGCGACUGAGCGAAAGCAUUAAGUAAUCCACCUGGGGAGUACGUUGGCA